UGGGGAAUAUUGGACAAUGGGGGCAACCCUGAUCCAGCCAUGCCGCGUGUGUGAAGAAGGCCUUCGGGUUGUAAAGCACUUUCGGACGGAACGAAAUCGCGCGUGUUAAUAGCACGCGUGGAUGACGGUACCGUAAGAAGAAGCACCGGCUAACUUCGUGCCAGCAGCCGCGGUAAUACGAAGGGUGCAAACGUUGCUCGGAAUCAUUGGGCGUAAAGCGCACGUAGGCGGCUUCGCAAGUCGGAUGUGAAAUCCCUGGGCUCAACCGAGGAAGUGCAUCCGAAACUGCGGAGCUUGAGUAUGGAAGAGGGUCGCGGAAUUCCCGGUGUAGAGGUGAAAUUCGUAGAUAUCGGGAGGAACACCAGUGGCGAAGGCGGCGACCUGGGCCAAUACUGACGCUGAGGUGCGAAAGCGUGGGGAGCAAA
rnacentral:rRNA from 1 species